rnacentral:misc_RNA from 1 species
UUUCCGUAGGUGAACCUGCGGAAGGAUCAUUAUUGAAAUAAAAAACUCAGGCAGGGGGGAGUGUGGUUGUAGCUGGCCCCUAAUAAGGGCAUGUGCACACUGUCUCUUUCUCUUGUUUGUUUUUUUCAUUCUUUCCACUUGUGCACUGCUUGUAGGCAGCCUGGCAUUGUUCGGGUUGUCUAUGAUUUUCUUUUACAUACAUGAAUCAUUGUUGAACAGAAUGUGAUAAAAAAUAAUAAUACAACUUUCAACAACGGAUCUCUUGGCUCUC